UUUUAUGGAGAGUUUGAUCCUGGCUCAGGAUGAACGCUGGCGGCGUGCCUAAUACAUGCAAGUCGAGCGAACAGACGAGGAGCUUGCUCCUUUGACGUUAGCGGCGGACGGGUGAGUAACACGUAGGUAACCUACCUAUAAGACUGGGAUAAAUUCGGGAAACCGGAGAUAAAACCGGAACAAAUUUUAG
rnacentral:rRNA from 1 species